GGAGGCUCCUGCGUCCCCUAUGGUUCCUGCACAGUUACCGAGGGAGAAUGUGCUAGAAAUGGCUUUGCUGCAGAAUGCAUUCUUUUGCUAUUUCCGUAUCCCGAUACGGCACACACGAUUGUCUGAUCGAUCGGUUGCAGGAAUGAGAAUGCAUUUUUUGUUGCUGUUUGCCAGUUAAGUUCACGCUACAGUAACUCCCUCCCUGCCCCCCAACUAACAUAUGCAUCUUGGUUCCGAUUCUUGGAUAAAUUAGUAGCCUCCAAAAGAGUGACUUUCACGUUGGAAUGAGACCUAUACACUCAUAAUGCCCUCUGGUUUCCACGAGUCUGUAGCACCCCCAGCCAGUCCAUGCUCCUCUUGUGAAGAGUAGGCUGUAUUCUAGCCCUAAUGAAGUCCUAGAGCAGAAGUUUUUCUUCAAUCAUCGCAUUUUACCAAAAGGAUGAUUUCUGUGCAUGUCUCUGUGUUUUACAGAGACGACAAAUGAUGCUGGGUGUCUGGGUACCACAUGAGGAGGAUGAAUAUCCUGAAUUAUAUCCAUUACAAAUACAACCUAACAGCUGUGACAUAUCGAGAGCACACUUUUCAUAUAAGAUAUCAAUGCGCCUCCCAAACCUGCUGGUCUCAUUUGCUAUUCAAAGAAAUACAACCAUUUGUUGAGGACCCAGCUUUACUGAAAUCACAAUUUUUUUUUUUAUGUCAAAUAAAUGUAAGGUUGCUGUUCUUUAAAAUAUUUGGAGAAAAAAGGACGGGAUAAAAAACUAAGAAUUUUGUGACCCAUAGUUCCUUAUCUUUAACACAGUUCAUAGCACUUAAAGUUGACUAAACAAUUAAAGUAUUUGAGCAUAAUACUAAAACAUAUGAUUACACUUCAGCAACCUCAAAAGAGAGCCAUAGGCUUUCUACCUCCUUGCUGGCCUUUACCUGAAAUACAAUUCUGGUUUGUACUUAGAACUUUCUCAGAAGUUAUACAUUUUAAAUUUAUGUUGAGUACUUCCUUUCCUGGAUUAUCUCAAUACACAUUUGCAGUGGGUAUUUGAGCACAUUUUGUAGUACUCGUAAUGUUGUUUGCUAUCCUAGCUCCUUCUUCUUUUAAGUGUAAGGAUACUAUCCAAUAUAUUUCUAACCUACUAGUCCACUAAAAUAUCCAAUCUAAGCAAUGUUCAAGAAUUAUUGUAUUAGAGAAAUUGUGAAGCAAUCGGUUCAAAAAGUAAAAUUCCAUAUGCUUCUGAUUUUUUUCGCCAUAAAUCAAUCUUAUAGCAAAAAUAGGUUAUAAGUAAGUGAAUUCAAACUCUUCCUUGCAUACAAGAGCCAUACAUGACACACACAUUUAUGUACACAGUUUCCCUCAUUUGAAUAUUUAGUCUCCUUGCUAUGUGUGCAUUUUGGUUUUAGAGCUUUCCCUCUGAAAUUGUCUCAAGUUUCGUAAAUACCUAAGUGUUCAAGCAUCUUCAAUCCUUACUCCAUAUUAUCAAUAUGGUGCUAAAUAAACUGAGCCAAUAUAGCCAAAUCUCAAAACAGGAAUGUGGGAACUUGAAGGGACUUUAAAGAUCAUUUAGUCUAACCCCAUUCUGAUGAAGAAAUUGAGAAUCAGAGAUGUUAAGUGAAUAGUGAAAUCAUACACUAACCAGAAACCCAGUGAAUGUUUAAUAUAGUUCUCCUAAUUUCUUACUUAGUAUUCAUUCUAAAUCAAUUAACUUCUAUUACUAGCUUCUAAAACAGGUAUUGAGAGUGGGACAGGGAAUAAAUGAAAGCAAGAGCAAUCAGGGCAAACAUAGAUAAAUUACAGCCUUCUUGGGGUUCAUUUGGUUGAUAACUAAUACUCUUCAUUGUACAAAGUUCAUUUCUCUGCCGUGUUUUAUCCUCCACUCCUUACUCCACCCCGACCCUCAAUGAUUAAGGAACAUUUCAUGACAUAAUUUUACUUUCUCAGGAAAGAGUCUCUGUUCUUUUUCUGUGUGCAUUGGGUUGUUUCCUGGACUAUUUCCCCUCACACAAAACAGCCUUAAACUAGAUAAUUCCAACCACCUGCAGUAGCAUAGUCGAUCAUGUCACCUCUAUUUUCUACUUUUUAAAUCACUACCAGUAUAAACAAUAGGAAGAGAGCAAGAGGAAAGCCAUCACCUCAGAAUAAGAUGAUUCACCGACCCUCACUUACAUCUGAAACACAUGUGCACUGUGAACCUAGUGUGGAUAAUGAGACAAUGCAUUGUGAUGGAAAUAUUAUGCCAAAAAAAAAAAAAUCCACGUUCCUUUUAAAAAGGGCUUUCUUCAUUAGGAGAAAAGCUACAAGACUUCAACCAUUUAGGAGAGUUCAAUUUUCUGGAGUGGUUGAAGCCAUAUCAGUCUUCAUUGUCUCAUAUACAUUGAGAUUUGAGUAUUACACGUAAGCUUUUUUAUUGGCAAACCGAAAAGACAAAUAUCAACACUACAAUGCAUUAGCAGUUGUUAUCGUUUCAAAGGGAUUGGCAGUUAUCACGACUCCUUGGAUUAAAAGAGACAAGAAUAGCAUUAAAUUUAAAUAUAUUUGUAAAUUCCUACGAUGUGCUCUUAUACAAUUAAAAUUAUUCACUAAUGUGAAAUAUUGCAAAGGAUGGAACACGUAUGAGGAAGACUUUAUAUUGCUUAUGUUUUAAGAGUUGAAACCAAAAUCCACACUUAUUCAAAACCUAUUUACUGAUGAACACACAUUUCUAAUGGUUACAGGAAAAGUAGAUCCAUGGAAUUUUCUUCAGAGCCCACUAUACUCCUAUUUCUUUAAAUACAUUAUCUCAAUAUCAACUGUGUGCCUGGGUUAUAGAAUGGGCUAGAUUUAGCCGUUGCAGGAUACUUGGUCUUGUCAAAAACAUCCACAGAGACAUCUCGUUCAUGCCAAAAAGUCCUGCUAUUUGGUCCUGUCCACAGCGUCCAGACUUAGAAAACACCCCAGGAUUCAAAGAGCCCAUAAUGCUGAUUUCUAGUGCUGGUUUACAGGAAUCAUACAUAAAAAAGUACUACCACGUUCUAUUGGCCCAAUAAGUGCACUGUGGUUGUAUUGCCAAAAAUAAUCUUUCUUGCCUCAGUAGUCUAGUGGGUCAUGGCACGUGGGGGAAGGUGGAUAGAUCAGCGUGAACAGAAGGCCUCUGUGGAUGUCUUGGACAGGACCCAAUGUCCACUAGUCAGAUGAGCCGUCUCUGCCUAAUGAAAUCGUGAGAAUCCUCAUAAGAGGAAGGCAGGAGGACAGAGUCAGAGAAAGACACGCGAUGCCAGAAGCAGAUUGAGGGGUGGGGGACCACUAGCUCAGAAAUGAAGAAAGGUCAUUCUGCAGACGCAGAAACAGGGAAGGAAACCGAGUCAUCCCUAGUGCUUCCAGAAGAAAUGAAGCCCCGCUGAGCCAUUUUAGACUUCUGACCGCUAGAAUUAGAAGUUAAUCAAUCUGUGUCAGUUGAAGACACUGUAUAUUCAUGGUAAUAUAUAAUAGAAAACUAAUGGAACCGUCAGGAAAAGAGUGCAAACAUCAAUAAUAUGUCCUUUCCUCUCUAGGAACUUUAUGAUUUUACCACAAACUCUGGUUUCACGGCCAUUCUGUGGCUCCAGCUACUUUCAUAGACAUGAAAUUUGAUGGCAUCAAGAACCAAGCUGAUUCUUCCAACUUGUUUACAUAGGGUUGGACAGGAACCAGGGCUGGGGAGAAAUAGACACAGCACUAGUUUCCAGAAAUAAACUAACAGCUUAAGGACUUACCACAUUACAUAGUUGUAUGCAUUCAGAAUGUACUACUUAGCACAGAGUUUUGUACAUAUUAACAUCCAACACAUGCCGAUUUGGUUAUAACAAAUAUUGGUAUAGGUGUAAAGAAGUGAAUAAUGUUCAUGACAUUUGAAGGGUACAUAAA